ACCGCUGCUCAUUGAGCUUGCUCAGCACAGUAGAAGGGUGUGUGCUGUCCAUCAGGUUCGGAUGCAUAGGCUCAUGGCAGUCAUCUAAACAAUAAAAAAUAACAAAUUAUUACACCACAUGUAGUAAAGUAGAUACGUGUAAAAUUCUGAAAUGUGACUAUUUUCUUUUUAAAGCAUUUCAGCACUUUUUCUGUUUUAACACUAGAUGGCAGCAGCAUUCUGACACGGAGCCCCAGUUUCUAUUAACAGUUGCUGAAUUUAAACCUGAUGACCUCCAAACCACUUUAAGCAUAAAGAAUGUAGCCUGCCUCCAAGUUUGCCUGACUUGAAUUCAGUCUUCAGGAUUUCAAAGAAAGCAUGUUAUUAUAGAACACACUUAAGAGUAAAAUGAUUCAUCUUACUUAUACCUGUUUGAAUAAAACCGUAGCUAAGGUGUAGGUAGUGAUACAUGUUCUCUGAACCAUUUGUCAGUCACAACUAAGAUCGAUGAUAACUGAACGAAGAAUCUAUAUUAUGUUUCUGGAUAUGUGAGUUUUCGUUUAAUUUCAGCCACCUUAAUUGACCAACUAAACCACUUUAGAGUUCUCCUCCAGAUCUAGAUAAUUUUUUAUAUAUAUAAA